rnacentral:rRNA from 1 species
AUACGUAGGGGGCAAGCGUUAUCCGGAUUUACUGGGUGUAAAGGGAGCGUAGACGGCAAAGCAAGUCUGAAGUGAAAGCCCCGGGCUCAACCCGGGAAUUGCUUUGGAAACUGUUUAGCUGGAGUGCAGGAGAGGUAAGCGGAAUUCCUAGUGUAGCGGUGAAAUGCGUAGAUAUUAGGAGGAACACCGGCGGCGAAGGCGGCGUACUGGACUGUAACUGCCGUUGAGGCUCGAAAGCGUGGGGAGCAAACAGGAUUAUAUACCCUGGUAGUCCACGCCGUAAACGAUGAUUACUAGGUGUUGGUUGUCAUAGACAAUCGGUGCCGCAGCAAACGCAAUAAGUAAUCCACCUGGGGAGUACGUUCGCAAGAAUGAAACUCAAAGGAAUUGACGGGG